rnacentral:lncRNA from 1 species
GGCUUGAUCUCCGCCGCCGCGCCACCGGCUGCCGCCCGCCGCCGGCCAGCACCAUCUCCGGACCCCUCGGACCGACUGCUCCCGUCCCCGGUCGGAGCGCUCGCCGUCCGGCCGCCGGCGGCCAGCCCUAGCUCCCACUGCUCCGGUAAGUUGUUGUUUCAUGCUCCAGCACUGUAGUUAAGUUUUCCGAUCACCUUUCCGGUAAUCCGAUGACUCCCCGACACCCCGGGAGGUGAGCACGAUGAUCGUGGGCUCGUUCUGAACACGAUGCUCACCUCCGUUUGGGUUAAUGGUGCCCGGUUUAGUGAGUUAAGGGCAAUCUUUGCGCUGUGCGCGCUGUUUCGCUGAAUUCCGCGUCGCUCGUGCGCGCGUCGCAGUGGCUGGCAGUGCUCCGUAAGGUGAGCACGGCCUCUGGCACGCUGAAACCUAUCAGCGAGAGCGAUGUUUGUCCUAAUCGACCCCUGGUUUGCGUGUACGAUCCAUAAAAGCCAUGAAAUCACAUAAAAUAAUGUGAUUUCAUGUGUCGAUAGGGGCUUUUAUGCCGUUUGAUUCGUCGUAGCUGCUGUUGGCAGCGAAUUAGGGCUGAGGAUAACCUCUGGACUGAUCGUCCAAGGCCCCAAGCCUUUGCAAGUGUCGGAAAGAGAUUUUCGGCGCAUUUCUCGGCGAAAUCCGCCGACGGAACGCGGGAUCGGUUCGAAUUCUUUCCGACAGUGCUUCGUGAUGAAUUGUGUAGUCGCUGAGCCUUGUUGGCUGGUCACUCGCAUCAUUUUGAGGGUUCAGAAAUGACGGGUGAGCGACGGUAGGUUCCGGUGUCGAAUUAGACACUUCCGGGAACCCGGAUCGAAACGAUUAUCCGACGGUAAUUGUUUCGACAUGAGGAGUGGUGUUUGCUGCCAUGAUGCAUGAUUUCUUAUGUUUAGUGGCAGCGGAUGACUCGUAGCACGAGUCGGUACGUUCCGGGACAGUUCGUGGGUCCCGACGGAGUCCCGGUGCGAUUUUGGGACUUCCGGCGAGUUACGAUAGUUGGUUUUAGGAAACCGAUCAUCGUGGGUUUGUUUGUGAGGUUGUGAGAGCUAGUGGUUUGUUAUUUGUGGGUUAGACUCUAACCCGGUGGACCCUUCUUAGGUCCGGGUGAUGCUUCUUCCACAGACGAGAGACAAGCACCGUAUUUGUACAGGUGGGUACUUCGAUCCGACGUUGGUACAGUGGUGCACGCUCGGUGAUGGUUUCUUACCCUUGCUCUUUUGUUAUUAUCCAUGCAUACAUAAUACGUUGAGCUUUGCACCUCUAUUGUUUACAUUACACCCACGUUGUUUGAUUAUACUCUACUCAGAUGUUUCCAUGCUUAGUAUCAUGUGUAGGAGUAUAGUCUAUCUGUAUGUGAUACCAUGUUUCCUUGUUGCUCUACUUAGCUAUUCUGCAUAUCCUGUUUCAUGUUUAGAGUAGAGCGGUUUCGUGAUUUCUUGUAAGAUCGGUGUCCUAGUCGGUCGGUUCCUUGACUUCUGUCGUUUGAUGACCGUUGAGGUCGGUAUACCCUGAGGGGUGGGAUUGUCGGUUAGUUGCCGACGGAUGAUUAUAGUUUACUCAUAUCUACUAUUUGACAUGUAUGUGACCUAGUCAGUCAGUUCGUGCCUCUUGUCGUUUCUUGUCGUUUGAUGACCUUUGAGGUCGGUGUACCUUGAGGGGUAGGAUUGUCGGCUAAUGGCCGACGGUAGUUCUAGAUUAUAUACUCAGAUGACUUGUUUAUCGAUUCUUGCAUAUAUACAGUAGUUGACUUAUUGAUCAGUAUCUACAUACUUUUGGUAGGAUGUUGAGUUGUUCCAUCCCAGUUGACUUGAUUAGUCAGUACUUGCAUACAGUUGAGAGGAUGUAGAGUCGUUCCAUCCUAGUUGACCUGAGUGGUCGGUUCUU